GACGAACGCUGGCGGCGUGCUUAACACAUGCAAGUCGAACGGAGUGGCGAACGGGUGAGUAACACGUGGGUGAUCUGCCUUGCACUUCGGGAUAAGAUUGGGAAACUGGGUCUAAUACCGGAUAUUGCAAGAUGAGCUCGCGGCCUAUCAGCUUGUUGGUGGGGUAAUGGCCUACCAAGGCGUCGACGGGUAGCCGGCCCGGGAGGGUGUACGGCCACAUUGGGACUGAGAUACGGACCAGACUCCUAUGGGAGGCAGCAGUGGGGAAUAUUGCACAAUGGGGGGAAGCCUGAUGUGGCGGCGCCGCGUGGGGGAUAAUGGCCUUCGGGUUGUAAACUCCUUUCGACAGGGACGCGGUACCUGUAUAGAAAGCACCGGCUAACUACGUGCCAGCAGCCGCGGUAAUAC
rnacentral:rRNA from 1 species